UAAGAACCUUAAAAUUAAGCUUCACACAGUAAUCUGUGAUGCCCCUGCACGGGCCUUUGUGAAAAAGACAAAGGCCCAUAAUGCUUAUCAUGGGUGUGAUAAGUGCCUACACCCAGGGCACUACCAGAACCGGCGUAUGACGUUCCCUGGAUCAGAACACCCCCAGAGAACUGACAUCUCAUUUAACCUGAUGGUUGAUGAACUACACCACCACGAGGGGCCACAUCCAUUUAAAAAUGUGAAGGUUGGCAUGGUAUCGCAGUUUCCCUUGGAUUAUAUGCAUCUAGUGUGUUUGGGCAUCGUAAGGAAACUGCUCCAGACCUGGCUCCGGGGUCCGUUAACAGUAAGACUGCCGGCAAUAAUAGUAGACAGGAUGUCAGGCAAACUCCAGUCAAUGAGGCCCUACGUGCCAGUUGAGUUUGCCAGGAGACCACGGUCGCUUAGGGAGUUGGACCGUUGGAAGGCGACUGAAUUCCGUCAGUUCUUACUGUACACUGGCCCAGUGGUGCUGGCAGGAUUCCUGGACCGGAACAUGUACCACAAUUUCAUGCUCCUGUCAACUGCUAUAUCUAUUUUGGUAAGCCCUGAACAUCUCAACCUUGCUGAUUAUGCUGGACAAAUGCUAAAAUCUUUUGUAAACCAUUUUGGUGAGCUGUAUGGGAAAGACCAGAUUGUGUACAAUGUCCACUGUCUGGUUCACCUGGCAGACGAGGUGAAGAGGCAUGGCUGUCUGGACUCUUUUUCAGCAUUCCCAUAUGAGAACCACCUCGGGAAAAUAAAAAAACUCAUUAGAAAACCAGAGUUCCCUUUAGCUCAACUCAUUCGGCGCCUUUCGGAGGUUACAGCUACCAAAUUGGAUGCUGAUGCAGACAUUUCACUGAAAAGGGAGCAUUUUGUGGGCCCAAUUGUUGUUGGCAUGGGAGUUAAUGCGCAAUAUGGGGAAAUGCGAGGUGAAAGGUGGACCAUCAAAUUAACAACAGGGGACAACAUGUUUCUGGUGGGGGAUAAAGUCUGCCUUAUCAAAAACAUUAUCCAAAAUGAUAAUGGUGUGUACGCUAUUUACACUGAAUUUUCCCGGCAGUCUCCAUUCUAUACCUACCCCUUCAACUCUGACAGAAUGAACAUAUUUGUUGUAAAUUAUGCAUCUGACGAGCUGAAGUCAGUUGAGGUGUCAGCGCUGCGACAGAAAUGUGUAGCCUUGCCAUACAGGGAUGGUUUCGUGGCCAUACCCCUCCUCCACUAAAUGGAAAAAAACAAAGAAAAAAAAUCCAAUCAAUCAGUUUAAACAAUCAGUUCAAGUUAAAAACUCUAAAAAUAUAGUUGACUACUGACUUCUGACUAUGACUUCCAUUACUCUGGAUGAAAAUUUGCUGAUGCCUUUUCAUCUAAUUGAAUUUCAAGCGAGCGAGGACAUCGCUGUUGUGCCAAUUGACUGGUAUGAUGACGGGAUGGUGUACUGGCCCAGCUUUAAGAGCACUGAGCGUGUGAAAAGGGCAGCUGCUAACGAGGAGAAGCAUGAGCCAAACUGGCCAAGAUAUGAUGUAAAGGUUGUCAGAACUUGUGGUAUGCCAAUUCAUAAAAUUCUUGUUUAAAAAUAAUUUAAUGGUUGCUUCUCCUUCUGCUUGGAAUAACGUAUUAUUUCUAUGUUCUGAAAAUGCACAUAAAAUUAAUUGUCUUUGCCUUGCAUUGUUUAAAAUAUUCCAUUUAUAUCUAUAGUAAUAAUUAUUAUUAUCAUCGUGUUCUGUGCAGC
ensembl:lncRNA